ACGCCAAGAAAGUUAUUUAUAUUGGAAAAAUUAAUAAUUUUUAUUUAAUUUUUUAAUUAAUUAAAUAAUUUAAAAUAAUUAUUUUGAAUUAACAAAGAAAUUUAAUAAUUAUUAAUUUGAAUAUAUAUUUGAUAAUUAGGGUGAAGUCGUAACAAGGUUUCCGUAGGUGAACCUGCAGAAGGAUCA
rnacentral:misc_RNA from 1 species